rfam:Schistosoma haematobium scaffold871_6, whole genome shotgun sequence.
AUCUAAUUGACGAGUUCCAAAUAGGACGAAACGCGUGUCAUGGAU